rnacentral:rRNA from 1 species
AGGACGAACGCUGGCGGCGUGCUUAACACAUGCAAGUCGAGCGGAAAGGCCCUUCGGGGUACUCGAGCGGCGAACAGGUGAGUAACACGUGAGCAACCUGCCCUUAGCUUCGGGAUAGCUCCGGGAAACCGGAAUUAAUACCGAAUAUGACUUUGGCUGACAUCAGCAGAAGUGGAAAGUUUUUCGGCUAGGGAUGGACUCGCGGCCUAUCAGCUAGUUGGUGAGGUAACGGCCCACCAAGGCGACGACGGGUAG